rnacentral:rRNA from 1 species
GGUUAAGCGACUAAGCGUACACGGUGGAUGCCCUGGCAGUCAGAGGCGAUGAAGGACGUGCUAAUCUGCGAAAAGCGUCGGUAAGGUGAUAUGAACCGUUAUAACCGGCGAUGUCCGAAUGGGGAAACCCAGUGCAAUUCGUUGCACUAUCGUUAACUGAAUACAUAGGUUAACGAGGCGAACCGGGGGAACUGAAACAUCUAAGUACCCCGAGGAAAAGAAAUCAACCGAGAUUCCCCCAGUAGCGGCGAGCGAACGGGGAGCAGCCCAGAGUCUGAAUCAGCUUGUGUGUUAGUGGAACGGUCUGGAAAGUCCGACGGUACAGGGUGAUAGUCCCGUACACCAAAAUGCACAGGUUGUGAACUCGAAGAGUAGGGCGGGACACGUGGUAUCCUGUCUGAAUAUGGGGGGACCAUCCUCCAAGGCUAAAUACUCCUGACUGACCGAUAGUGAACCAGUACCGUGAGGGAAAGGCGAAAAGAACCCCGGCGAGGGGAGUGAAAAAGAACCUGAAACCGUGUACGUACAAGCAGUGGGAGCACCUUCGGGUGUGACUGCGUACCUUUUGUAUAAUGGGUCAGCGACUUAUAUUCUGUAGCAAGGUUAACCGUAUAGGGGAGCCGCAGGGAAACCGAGUCUUAACUGGGCGUUAAGUUGCAGGGUAUAGACCCGAAACCCGGUGAUCUAGCCAUGGGCAGGUUGAAGGUUGGGUAACACUAACUGGAGGACCGAACCGACUAAUGUUGAAAAAUUAGCGGAUGACUUGUGGCUGGGGGUGAAAGGCCAAUCAAACCGGGAGAUAGCUGGUUCUCCCCGAAAGCUAUUUAGGUAGCGCCUCGUGAACUCAUCUUCGGGGGUAGAGCACUGUUUCGGCUAGGGGUCAUCCCGACUUACCAACCCGAUGCAAACUACGAAUACCGAAGAAUGUUAUCACGGGAGACACACGGCGGGUGCUAACGUCCGUCGUGAAGAGGGAAACAACCCAGACCGCCAGCUAAGGUCCCAAAGUCAUGGUUAAGUGGGAAACGAUGUGGGAAGGCACAGACAGCCAGGAUGUUGGCUUAGAAGCAGCCAUCAUUUAAAGAAAGCGUAAUAGCUCACUGGUCGAGUCGGCCUGCGCGGAAGAUGUAACGGGGCUAAACCAUGCACCGAAGCUGCGGCAGCGACACUAUGUGUUGUUGGGUAGGGGAGCGUUCUGUAAGCCUGCGAAGGUGUGCUGUGAGGCAUGCUGGAGGUAUCAGAAGUGCGAAUGCUGACAUAAGUAACGAUAAAGCGGGUGAAAAGCCCGCUCGCCGGAAGACCAAGGGUUCCUGUCCAACGUUAAUCGGGGCAGGGUGAGUCGACCCCUAAGGCGAGGCCGAAAGGCGUAGUCGAUGGGAAACAGGUUAAUAUUCCUGUACUUGGUGUUACUGCGAAGGGGGGACGGAGAAGGCUAUGUUAGCCGGGCGACGGUUGUCCCGGUUUAAGCAUGUAGGCUGGUUAUCCAGGCAAAUCCGGAUAAUCAAGGCUGAGGUGUGAUGACGAGGCACUACGGUGCUGAAGUAACAAAUGCCCUGCUUCCAGGAAAAGCCUCUAAGCAUCAGGUAACAUCAAAUCGUACCCCAAACCGACACAGGUGGUCAGGUAGAGAAUACCAAGGCGCUUGAGAGAACUCGGGUGAAGGAACUAGGCAAAAUGGUGCCGUAACUUCGGGAGAAGGCACGCUGGUGUGUAGGUGAAGUCCCUGCGGAUGGAGCUGAGACCAGUCGAAGAUACCAGCUGGCUGCAACUGUUUAUUAAAAACACAGCACUGUGCAAACACGAAAGUGGACGUAUACGGUGUGACGCCUGCCCGGUGCCGGAAGGUUAAUUGAUGGGGUUAUCCGUAAGGAGAAGCUCUUGAUCGAAGCCCCGGUAAACGGCGGCCGUAACUAUAACGGUCCUAAGGUAGCGAAAUUCCUUGUCGGGUAAGUUCCGACCUGCACGAAUGGCGUAAUGAUGGCCAGGCUGUCUCCACCCGAGACUCAGUGAAAUUGAACUCGCUGUGAAGAUGCAGUGUACCCGCGGCAAGACGGAAAGACCCCGUGAACCUUUACUAUAGCUUGACACUGAACAUUGAGCCUUGAUGUGUAGGAUAGGUGGGAGGCUUUGAAGCGUGGACGCCAGUCUGCGUGGAGCCAACCUUGAAAUACCACCCUUUAAUGUUUGAUGUUCUAACGUUGGCCCCUGACCGGGGUUGCGGACAGUGUCUGGUGGGUAGUUUGACUGGGGCGGUCUCCUCCCAAAGCGUAACGGAGGAGCACGAAGGUUAGCUAAUCCUGGUCGGACAUCAGGAGGUUAGUGCAAUGGCAUAAGCUAGCUUGACUGCGAGCGUGACGGCGCGAGCAGGUGCGAAAGCAGGUCAUAGUGAUCCGGUGGUUCUGAAUGGAAGGGCCAUCGCUCAACGGAUAAAAGGUACUCCGGGGAUAACAGGCUGAUACCGCCCAAGAGUUCAUAUCGACGGCGGUGUUUGGCACCUCGAUGUCGGCUCAUCACAUCCUGGGGCUGAAGUAGGUCCCAAGGGUAUGGCUGUUCGCCAUUUAAAGUGGUACGCGAGCUGGGUUUAGAACGUCGUGAGACAGUUCGGUCCCUAUCUGCCGUGGGCGCUGGAGAAUUGAGGGGGCUGCUCCUAGUACGAGAGGACCGGAGUGGACGCAUCACUGGUGUUCGGGUUGUCAUGCCAAUGGCACUGCCCGGUAGCUAAAUGCGGAAGAGAUAAGUGCUGAAAGCAUCUAAGCACGAAACUUGCCCCGAGAUGAGUUCUCCCUGAGACUAUAAGUCUCCUGAAGGAACGUUAAAGACGAUGACGUUGAUAGGCCGGGUGUGUAAGCGCAGCGAUGCGUUGAGCUAACCGGUACUAAUGAACCGUGAGGCUUAACCUU